rnacentral:misc_RNA from 1 species
AGAGUUAUGUAUUCUCAUCGUGACCCAAGCAUUCGCAAAAGUGGGGCUGGAAAUAUAUUUAUUAAGAAUUUAGACAAGGCAAUUGACCACAAAGCUCUACAUGAUACAUUUUCUGCAUUUGGUAGUAUCCUGUCUUGCAAAGUGGCGUUAGAUUCCUCUGGCCAGUCAAAAGGCUAUGGUUUUGUGCAAUUUGACAAUGAGGACUCUGCUCAGAAAGCAAUUGAGAAGCUGAACGGUAUGCUGUUGAAUGAUAAGCAAGUUUAUGUAGGA